rnacentral:rRNA from 1 species
UACAGAGGGGGCAAGCGUUGUUCGGAAUUACUGGGCGUAAAGGGCGCGUAGGCGGCCUGCUAAGUCGAACGUGAAAUCCCCGGGCUCAACCCGGGAACUGCGUCCGAUACUGGAAGGCUUGAAUCCGGGAGAGGGAUGCGGAAUUCCAGGUGUAGCGGUGAAAUGCGUAGAUAUCGUAAGGAAGACCAGUGGCGAAGGCGGCUCUCUGGGCUCUACCUGACGCUGAGACGCGAAAGCGUGGGGAGCGAACCGG